rnacentral:lncRNA from 1 species
GGCAGUGUUUUGACGACUGCCUCACUAAAGGAAGCUAAAAGCUGUGCUGAUGCCUCCCAGACGAGCCUCGUUGGAAGCACAGAACCUUCACGGCUCGGAGCCGCUGACACCGUGACAAAGGGAGCCCUGCUCAGGAGAAAGAGCAAAUGAGAGGCAGUUGCACUUUUUCAGGUGUCAGGCUGGAGGAAGCCACUUGAAGAUGAAUCUACCUCUGCCUUAGGAUUGCCUGAUGGCCUGUGCCAUUCCAUGUUAUAUCUACUGAUUUGCUCCCUGUAUUCAAAGAUUUUUUUUUUUUACUUAAUUCUCUCUUACUGACCCUGAGAGUGACCAUAUUUUUAACCAAUUUGGUCUUCAGCCUCAAAACUUAGCUCUUUCCUUUUGUGGUCCCCGAAUCCUAUCACGUGUCAUGGUGGCUGUGAAGAUGUUUGCCAAGCCUGCUGAGAAGGCUCAUCUGUGGCAUCCAAAAGCAGAGAUUUCAACUCUGGACCCCUGUGACCUGCCUUUGUAAUUAUGGAUACCCAGCACUGUUUUGAAAUAUCAGUGGACAUCCAGUUUUUAAAAGCCCUCAGAGCUUUGGGAGACACCCCUUUAUCUCUCUGGCAUGUCAGAGAACCGAUUCAACCCUUCUCAUCUCCUCCUCCUUCCCUCUCUUGGGCCAUCAGGAUGCGGCAGCAACUCACUGUGCAUGUUUUUACAGCUCUUCUCCAGUAAUGCUGCCAUUUCCACUGCAGACCACAGGAUAAAAGGACCGCUUCACCGUGGCCCAGGAUACCCUUUUAAGUAGGAGGGAGAAGAAAGUACUGCUUUGAUCUAAAAUUAAGCAAACGUUCUUCAAUAAACCCACCAUGAGACUUGACCACUAAUGGUGACCAGCAGUGGCUUUGUCAUGGCCCUGCCCACUGGGGGCAGGCACAUGCCGGGGCCAGGGCAGGCUGCCAGCUGGUGAGCACGAAUAGGUGGCUGGUGGAGCGCAUGCAGUGGGAAGGGCAGAUGGCUCCAUUUUGAUUUGUUAGCAGGCCACUUCCUCGGAAGGGGCUUUCCCUUCAGUGGGGUCUGCACCGCCAGCCUCAGCUGUCUUGGAGCAGAUGUGUAUAGUUAGAGAUGGGGACCUUUUCACUGUAAAUACUGCUCACAUGUUCCUAGGCUGACUUUACUAUGUGCAGAGCCUCUUCUCAAAUAUCCAAAUCCCCUCUGUUGGGUACUACAGAACAGAUGUUACCCUGCCUCCUAUUACAUUAAUUUACGAACUUUACAUAUGCUGAGUUACGGACCCUAAGCUGUUGCAUGUGCUUGGCUCUUAUGUUCCAAAAAGUACAUUUGUAUGGUUUUGUGGAAACUGUGCUGUUCUGCUUUUGCAGUCUGUGAGAUUCUGAUUUUUUUUUUCUCAUCAGCAAUUAUCCUUGUCUUGGAACAUCAGAGCUUGAAGAAAGGGAUUCUAGCAGCCCACCUCUCUCCUUCCUAAUCCAGAUGGUUAGAGGCUUAGAGAGAGGUGGUGGUUGCUCUGAGUUUACCAGAUUCAGUGACAAACCCCUUCUAAUUUCUAAUCAAUCUGGCAGCCUUCAUUUACCAAAAGUUGACUUUUGAUAGUAUAACUUUUAUACACCGUGAGACAACUUAUUUUAAAAAACAGUUUAGAAAUAUUUAAUUUUUUUUUGAAAGACUUUUUAAGGUCAGGCACCAUGGGUCAUGCCUAUCAUCUCAACGCUUUGAGGACUGAAGUGGGAGGAUCAUUUGAGGCCAAGAUUUCAAGAUCAGCUUGGGCAACAUAGUGAGACUCUGUCUCUAAAAAAUUAAAAAAAAAAA